rnacentral:rRNA from 1 species
UACGAAGGGGGCUAGCGUUGCUCGGAGUCACUGGGCGUAAAGGGUGCGUAGGCGGGGCUUUAAGUCAGGGGUGAAAUCCUGGAGCUCAACUCCAGAACUGCCUUUGAUACUGAAGAUCUUGAGUUCGGGAGAGGUGAGUGGAACUGCGAGUGUAGAGGUGAAAUUCGUAGAUAUUCGCAAGAACACCAGUGGCGAAGGCGGCUCACUGGCCCGAUACUGACGCUGAGGCACGAAAGCGUGGGGAGCAAACAGG